rnacentral:rRNA from 1 species
AUUGAACGCUGGCGGUAGGCUUAACACAUGCAAGUCGAACGGUAGCAGCUCUAGCUUGCUAGAGGCUGACGAGUGGCGGACGGGUGAGUAACGCGUAGGAAUCUACCUAAUAGUGGGGGACAACCUGGUGAAAACCAGGCUAAUACCGCAUACGCCCUACGGGGGAAAGCGGGGAGUCUUCGGACCUCGCGCUAUUAGAUGAGCCUGCGUUAGAUUAGCUAGUUGGUGGGGUAAAGGCUCACCAAGGCGACGAUCUAUAGCUGGUCUGAGAGGAUGAUCAGCCACACUGGGACUGAGACACGGCCCAGACUCCUACGGGAGGCAGCAGUGGGGAAUAUUGCGCAAUGGGCGAAAGCCUGACGCAGCCAUACCGCGUGUGUGAAGAAGGGUUUAGGCUCGUAAAGCACUUUAAGUAGGGAGGAAGGCCUAAAGUUUAAUACGCUUUAGGAUUGACGUUACCUACAGAAUAAGCACCGGCUAACUCCGUGCCAGCAGCCGCGGUAAAG